rnacentral:rRNA from 1 species
UACGUAGGGGGCAAGCGUUGUCCGGAUUUACUGGGCGUAAAGAGCGUGUAGGCGGCCUGACAGGUCUGCUGUGAAAACUCGAGGCUCAACCUCGAGAUGUCGGCGGAAACCGUCUGGCUAGAGUCCGGAAGAGGAGAGUGGAAUUCCUGGUGUAGCGGUGAAAUGCGUAGAUAUCAGGAGGAACACCUGUGGCGAAAGCGGCUCACUGGACCAUAACUGACGCUGAUGCACGAAAGCUAGGGGAGCAAACAGG